AGCAGCCGCGGUAAUUCCAGCUCCAAUAGCGUAUAUUAAAGUUGUUGCAGUUAAAAAGCUCGUAGUUGAAUUUCGGGAUCAAUCUGUUGGUCGUGCCUUUGGUACGUACUAGCUUAUUGAUUUCUCCCUUCUGACGAACCAUGAUGUCAUUUAUUUGGUGUUGUGGGAAAUCAGGACUGUUACUUUGAAAAAAUUAGAGUGUUUAAAGCAGGCUCACGCUUGAAUACAUUAGCAUGGAAUAAUGAAAUAGGACGUUUGAUUCUAUUUUGUUGGUUUCUAGGAUCGACGUAAUGAUUAAUAGGGAUAGUUGGGGGCAUUAGUAUUCAAUUGUCAGAGGUGAAAUUCUUGGAUUUAUUGAAGACUAACUACUGCGAAAGCAUUUGCCAAGGAUGUUUUCAUUAAUCAAGAACGAAAGUUAGGGGAUCGAAGACGAUCAGAUACCGUCGUAGUCUUAACCAUAAACUAUGCCGACUAGGGAUCGGAUGAUGUAAUUUUUAAUGA
rnacentral:rRNA from 1 species